GAUCUAAGAUGUGCUAAAAAAAUAAAAUAAAUAGAGAAAUUCUUAUCAUUUGUUCCGCCAAGGACGAUGCCUAAAAUUUAGUAUUAAAAAAACUUUUCGUCGUCAAUUUUAUGGAACAAAACAAUACUGAAAAUAUUUGAACAUCAAAGUUAAGCAUUUUAAUUAAUUUUAACUAAGCAACGUUACAAAAGCUACGUUACAGAAUAUUGGCCAAGCGCAAGUAUAUCAUUUGGUUAGAAUAUAUAUUACUUAUUUACUAAAAGGCUGGUUUAGGAAUACAGACGUGAAAAUACGCAAGUUGUUACAGACUUGAAAACAAGUUGUAACAAGGUUGUUGUCAAGCCCAUCUCAUAAUGUGUUCGCACAGCUUGAUUCCAGUUGUUUUGAGAAGCCUAGAACAAGUUGUUAUAAUUUCUUACAAGGUUGAUUAUGUCCAACAAGACUAUUACAGGCUGUUCGAAAAAAAGUUGCUACGAGCUUGUUGUCAUCAAGUUGUUACUUGUUACGUGCAAGCAGACGAUAUCAGACUUGUUGGAACAACUUGUUGCAAGUCUGUUGGCCUGAUCAACCUAGUUAGUUACAAGAUGAUAACAACUUUUUCAAGACUUGGCAACAGCAGUUAACAAGCCGUGGGAACACAUUUUGUUUGCAAGGUAUGAGAAUUUCACGCGUGUAAUAGGGGACUUGCACUAAGAGGUCGUCCGAUCUCAAUCGCCUUGACAAAACAAAUUGCGUUUAAGAUAAUACUGUAAUAGAUCUUGAAUUAUUUGUUUUGGACCACUUUGUUCGACGACUCGUUUUUACAAUCCAACAUAGAGUUCGAAAUAAAACAUAAUACAGUUAAAGGAUUAGUGUUACAUCACGGUAUAUAUAGCGGGCUUUAGAGUUUUUAUCUUACCCAGAAGAAACAAAUACGAUGAAAUUAACUUGUUUGUACAUUUCCAAUAACAAUCACUGAGAUAAAAGGAGCAAGGGUUCUCAAUAUACGACGGAUUACAAAAACAUUCCCAGACCAACUGAUAUACUAGAUCCAUAAUGUGGAAUUUGAGUGAGCAAUACCAUGGUGUGAUACUAAUCCUUUCAAUACUGUCAGAAGUUUUCUAAAACCUGACAUAACAUUAUCAAACCUAUGCUUAUGUAGUCCUUGAAGGGUAUAAUAUACUACGUACAAGAUGAAGAAGCUUUCGUAUACGUGAACAAAACUUUUGUUAGUUAGAAUAUUGCCAUUAUAGUCUAUCAUUGUGGAAGCUUACUAGAACACCAGCAGUACACUUUCUUUGGUGUUAUAUGUCACGUGACCUCGUAGUGCAUGUCGCCUAUUAACCUGGAUAGCUCAUGAGCUUUGUAAACAAUUAGUUGUUCAUUUUAGGCCAUGUGAUAAUUACAUCUCUUUCACAAAUACAAAGGACAGUGAAAAAUUCACAAGGACAUAGACAGUGAAAGAUUUGAACAUCGAAUGAUGUAAAUUCGCAAAUUUCCAUAAGAAGCUCAGGAAAUUGCGAAUAAAUUCAGAAAAUCAGACAUAUUUCAACGGAUGAAAUUUAUGCAUUGCUUUCCCAUUUGUCUACAGGCCUGCUCGUUCAUAUGAGCUCAGCUUGAAAGGAAUUUGCUAAUUUUGUCAAAUCCGUCACAGCCUCGGGGUAAAUAAGUGUCUGAUAUACUGUACCUUCUUACUAUAAUUCGCAGAUUACAUGUGCAUAUACCUAUAUCAUGAUCAGUGUUUAAAGUUACAUCAUACGAUAGACGUGUGUCUGGUAGAUUGGACAUUUAUCAUUGAUAGACCUGGAACGAUGGGGAUUCGGAGAAAUAUUACCCGAAGUUAGUAAGAAACUAUCAUCACCGAGGGUAAUAUUUCGCCGAAUCCCUCAAGAAGAGGGUCUAUGAAAGAUAUAUUGUCCCGAAAAUUAAAAGCCUCCAAGUUGAGCAUGUAAAACUUGAGACUUGCCUUCGUGAAUUCGAUGUUUUAUUUUUGGAUUAAGAAUCGUCGCCAUUCUGCCGAAUCACAUAUAGUUUGCAAUAUUGAUAACAUUGUUCAAAAUUUGCUUCAAAAUUUUCACAAAAAGAACGAGAUUUUUUUAAAGUAUAAAAAUUUAACAAUUCAUCCUUAGUAUACAGUAUUUUGCCUGCCAUCUUGUCUGGGUGAAAUACAAGUAUUCUAUAAAACCAAAAGUGUACAGUUUUCGUUUUUUUAGAUGUGGCAUAGCGAAUCUUCAUAAGUAAAUUGACAAAAACGCGCGCGGUCGCUUUCUCCUUUUUAAUGGUUCUCCUGAUUUGCCGUGUUCACAUGUCUUUACGGCUGUGUAAACUAUAUUAUAACAAUUCAAAUUAAAAUCGCUAUAGAACAACAAAUUGAAUAACCAAAAAGAGUGCAGCUAUCGACAAACAUGGAACAGGUUAUAACACAAACCGUUGUGCCAAUAAUUGCAGAUAAUCGUUUUAAAGCCAAGUUUCAAAGCCGCAAGUUUAUGCGUCGAUUUCGCGGGAAAUCCGUAUUUUUGUGUCAGGCAAAA
rnacentral:lncRNA from 1 species